rnacentral:rRNA from 1 species
GAUUACAGCCAUGCCACCCUGAACGUGCCCGAUCUUGUCUGAUCUCGGAAGCUAAGCAGAGUUGGGCCUGGUUAGUACUUGUAUGGGAGACCACAUAGAAAUACCAAGUGCUGUAGGCG